UCCCGGUGGUUUUCCUAUGAAGGCUUUUUCACAGACCAAAGCCUCAGAAACCUAUAGGAGGCCUGCUCCUUGCCCUGUUCAAGACCAGAACUGUUGUGGAGAACACUGCCCCCACCCAUCCAGGCACAAGUUGUAUUUACUGAAUCAGCUCUAAUUACAGUUUUCGCUGAGGUUGUGAGGUCGGGAGAAGCAGUCACAUCUUUCUCAGAAGGAAAACAUGAGGAUCCCUUCCAGGAUAGCAUAUUGUGUUUACUUGUCAUAUCUCCUUGGGCUUCACUUUCUGAUGACUUUGACAGCUUUCAGGAGUACUCAUUAGGCAUUUUCCAGAACAUUCCUCAGCCAAAGCUUCCUUCUCAGAAGUCAGAACUGACUCAUUGACUAUCAAUGAAUCCAACAUCAAGACACAACAGUCCCCAAUGUGGAUGCAAGGCUGGUAAGGAGACCACAGGUCCUAGAGACUGAGUAACUUGAGAAGGAUCACAGAGUAGUGGGGUUGGGCUGAACCUGAUCCAUCAGACAUGAACUGCUGCCCUAAGCUAUUACAGUGCACUCUCCUUUACAGAGACUAAAAAGCUGAAAGA